CCUACGGGGGGCAGCAGUGAGGAAUAUUGGUCAAUGGCCGUAAGGCUGAACCAGCCAAGUAGCGUGAGGGAAGACUGCCCUAUGGGUUGUAAACCUCUUUUAUGCGGGGAUAAAGGUGUCCACGUGUGGCUGUUUGCAGGUACCGCAUGAAUAAGGCACGGCUAAUUCCGUGCCAGCAGCCGCGGUAAUUAGGAAGGUCCGGGCGUUAUCCGGAUUUUUUGGGUUUAAAGGGAGCGUAGGCCGGUCUUUAAGCUUGCCGUGAAAUUUUGUGGCUCAACCAUGACUGUGCGGCGCGAACUGGAGACCUUGAGUGCGCGGGAGGCAGGCGGAAUGCGUGGUGUAGCGGUGAAAUGCUUAGAUAUCACGAAGAACCCCGAUUGCGAAGGCAGCCUGCCGCAGCGUUACUGACGCUGAAGCUCGAAAGCGCGGGUAUCGAACAGGAUUAGAUACCCGGGUAGUC
rnacentral:rRNA from 1 species